rnacentral:rRNA from 1 species
GGGGCGAGCGUUGUCCGGAAUUACUGGGCGUAAAGGGCGCGUAGGCGUCCAAGAAGUCAGGGGUGAAAUACCGCAGCUCAACUGCGGGAAUGCCUUUGAAACCAUUGGGCUUGAGGGCAGGAGAGGGGAGUGGAAUUCCCGGUGUAGCGGUGAGAUGCGUAGAUAUCGGGAGGUACACCAGUGGCGAAGGCGGCUCUCUGGCCUGGCCCUGACGCUGAGGCGCGAAAGCUGGGGGAGCAAACAGGAUUAGAUACCCUGGUAGUCCACGCUGUAAACGAUGGGUGCUAGGUGUUGGGGGGUUAGACCCUUCAGUGCCGUAGCAAACGCAAUAAGCACCCCGCCUGGGGAGUACGGCCGCAAUGUGAAACUCAAAGGAAUUGUCGGGGGCCCGCACAAGCGGUGGAGCCUGUGGUUUUUUUCGUCGCAACGCGAGAACCUUACCCGGGCUUUGUCUCCCCUUACGUUCGUUGGAACCGGAUUUCYCGGGGGAAUUCUUUGUCAGGAGACCGGUGGUGCAUGGUUUUCCUCAGCUCCUGUCGUGAGAUUUUGGGUUUAGUCCCCCAACGAGCGCAACCCUNNCGKUUAGUUGCU